GCCUUCGUAGUGUAGUGGUCAGCACGCUCGACGCGUAACCGAGAGAUCCGUGGUUCGAUUCCCGGCGAAGGCG
rfam:Stegodyphus mimosarum contig126257, whole genome shotgun sequence.